GUGCCAGCAGCCGCGGUAAUACGUAGGUCCCGAGCGUUGUCCGGAUUUAUUGGGCGUAAAGCGAGCGCAGGUGGUUUAUUAAGUCUGGUGUAAAAGGCAGUGGCUCAACCAUUGUAUGCAUUGGAAACUGGUAGACUUGAGUGCAGGAGAGGARAGUGGAAUUCCAUGUGUAGCGGUGAAAUGCGUAGAUAUAUGGAGGAACACCGGUGGCGAAAGCGGCUCUCUGGCCUGUAACUGACACUGAGGCUCGAAAGCGUGGGGAGCAAACAGGAUUAGAUACCCUGGUAGUCC
rnacentral:rRNA from 1 species